rnacentral:misc_RNA from 1 species
UUGAAUUUAAUGUAGAGUUGGUUGUAGCUGGCCCAAUUUAAUUAUUUUGGGCAUGUGCACACUUUCUCUUUCAUCCACACACACCUGUGCACCUGUGAGACAGAAGUGGGACUUUUAAUUUAAUUUAAUUGGACCCUCUGUCUACUCAAUCCACACAAACCCAAUUUAUUUUAAAAUGAAUGUAACUGGAUGUAACACAUCUAAUAC